CAAGUACUCCCUCCGUUUCAAAAUUCUUGUCUUAGAUUUGUUUAGAUAUGAAUGUAUUUAGUAUUUUGAUACAUCCAUUUUCAAACAAAGUUAAGACAAGAAUUUUGGGACGGAGGUUUUCAAAC
rnacentral:pre_miRNA from 1 species